AUGGCCCUGGGAUGGCGUCGCCAGCAGGGCUCCCGCAAGGUGCUCAGACCACACACCCAGGUCACCUGGCCCCUCAGAUGCAGCGAUCCCAGGGCAUCCUGCAAAGCCCGUCGCGUGGCGGGGGAGCGUGGGCUCACAGGAGGCCACCUGCCGUGUUUUCCCCUGACCCUUGCUGGGAAGACCGGCUUAAUGGGGCUUCACAGUGGGCCAUGGGGCUCGACUGUGUCCUGUCCCAGGCAAGACAGGCAGACCCUCUUGCCUGCUGCCCAGGUGGGCUGCAGCCCGGGAGCCACGCUGGGGGCCGCAGUGGACGAGGUGACCCCCGCUUCCACUUUUCUGCUUCUAGUUGCAAAGAAGAUGAGCACGCGUGACUUCAUAGCGCAGGGCCAGCUGCCACAGUGUCCCAAGGCAGCGUGCAGGAGCAAGCCGGCUGUGGACCCGGAGGCGGGGCCUGAGCAGGGAAGACGUGGACCGCCCGCCCGCUCUCUCCCUGGAGCCACGCCCAGGCCGCUGCAGCCACCCAUCUCCUGGAGCUCCACUUCGAGCAGCAGCACGGACAGCUCCUCAUGCCAGAAGGAAGCGCGCGGCCCUCCGAGGCUCUCACUGCCGGGCAGGGUGCGGCGCAAGGAGUUCCGGCGGCCUUCCAAGACCCCAGGCCAGUGCUCCCUGGCCACCAUGGGCCCCAAGCUCCCCUCCCUGCGCAGGGUGAGUGUGCUGCCCCGAACCCGUGCAGGAAAGUUCUGGGAAUAUUGA
rnacentral:lncRNA from 1 species